rnacentral:rRNA from 1 species
UACAGAGACUGCAAGCGUUAUUCGGAUUCACUGGGCGUAAAGGGUGCGUAGGCGGUUUGAUAAGUCUGAUGUGAAAUCUAAUGGGCUCAACCCAUAGCCUGCAUUAGAAACUGUCGGGCUUGAGUACGAGAGAGGUGAGUGGAAUUCCCAGUGUAGAGGUGAAAUUCGUAGAUAUUGGGAAGAACACCGGUGGCGAAGGCGGCUACACUGGCUCGUAACUGACGCUCAUGCACGACAGCGUGGGGAUCAAACAGG